rnacentral:tRNA from 2 species
GCUGGCUUAGCUCAGUUGGUAGAGCAGCUGAUUUGUAAUCAGCAGGUCGGGGGUUCGAAGCCUCUAGCCAGCUCCA